GGGCAGCUGACCAAAGAGCAUUUAAUUCAUAACAUAUACAACAGUUUAAUUCUAUUCUUCCUCCUAACAUGUCAGUCAUGUUGACUUCUUAGAAACACUCUUGGGCUCCUGCUUUAGGAGGAAAAGCUCAGCUGCACUCGGACAGUUUUUCGCUGGGACUCAGAAUAAUGCUGCUUUGGACCACUCUGUACAAGGUAUCUGAUAGUUGAAAACCAGGUGACUGACCCACUUGCUUUGAGCAGUUUCAUGGGCGCUUUCGUAAUUGGUAUUUGGUGUUCCUCUUAUUCAGAGACCUGUGACAACUUUGCUUGGUGCACUGUUCCAAAGGCUCUGCAGUAAAUGGUUGGCUUGCCUGUAACUCCCCCCCCCCAGUGGAUGUGGUGGUGUAAGGAGUGUUCAGUAGUCGUUUCAAGCUGAUGAUGAAGCCUUCCAAGGAUCCAUUGAGGACACCAUG